rfam:Rattus norvegicus chromosome 20, whole genome shotgun sequence.
GAAUGUGAAGCCCAUCUGGCUGUGACAUCUGUUGCUUGACAAGGCUGAAUCAGUUGAUCUGGCUAGAUAGGCUAGUGGCCCACUCCUCACUCACUGUUCCAUGUGUAUCCUUGAAGCUGCUUGUUCGGUGGAAGAUGACUGAACAGCUUUUUCCAAAUACUAAGGCAUUGUUCCGUGAAGAGCAUGUAAGUUUAUGCCUUCCUCCACUAGAACUUCCAAACCAGCUUCGAGGUCCAGAAUAGCAAAAGCACUUUUGGAAACCUGGACAAGUUGGAAUAUUCACUUCUAAUUUCAGACCUU